rnacentral:rRNA from 1 species
UGAGCAAUCUGCCCUUCUCUUCGGAAUAAGCGUUGGAAACGACGUCUAAUGCCGAAUACGACCACCUUUCGCAUGAUCGGAGGUGGAAAGCUCCGGCGGAGAAGGAUGAGCUCGCGGCCUAUCAGCUAGUUGGUGUGGGUAAUGGCCCACAAGGCGACGACGGGUAGCCGGCCUGAGAGGGUGACCGGCCACACGUGGGACUGAGACACCGGCCCAGACCUCCGUACGGGAGCAGC